rnacentral:rRNA from 1 species
GACGAACGCUGGCGGCGUGCUUAACACAUGCAAGUCGAACGGAAAGGCCCUGCCUUUGUGGGGUGCUCGAGUGGCGAACGGGUGAGUAACACGUGAGUAACCUGCCCUUGACUUUGGGAUAACUUCAGGAAACUGGGGCUAAUACCGGAUAGGAGCUCCUGCUGCAUGGUGGGGGUUGGAAAGUUUCGGCGGUUGGGGAUGGACUCGCGGCUUAUCAGCUUGUUGGUGGGGUAGUGGCUUACCAAGGCUUUGACGGGUAGCCGGCCUGAGAGGGUGACCGGCCACAUUGGGACUGAGAUACGGACCAGACUCCUACGGGAGGCAGCAGUGGGGAAUAUUGCACAAUGGGCGGAAGCCUGAUGCAGCAACGCCGCGUGCGGGAUGACGGCCUUCGGGUUGUAAACCGAUUUCGCCUGUGACGAAGCGUGAGUGACGGUAAUGGGUAAAGAAGCACCGGCUAACUACGUG